GACAGAGGGUGCAAACGUUUGCUCGGAAUCACUGGGCGUAAAGGGCGUGUAGGCGGGAAGGAAAGUCAGAUGUGAAAUCCCUGGGCUCAAACCCAGGAACUGCAUUUGAAACUCCCUUUCUUGAGUGUCGGAGAGGAAAGCGGAAUUCCUGGUGUAGAGGUGAAAUUCGUAGAUAUCUGGAGGAACACCGGUGGCGAAGGCGGCAUCCUGGACCGGUAUUGACGCUGAGGCGCGAAAGCUAAGGGGAGCAAAGCGGG
rnacentral:rRNA from 1 species